AUCAUUAGCGCAUUUUGUUGCCCAUCAUUUAAUUGUUUUUUCCCCUAGUUUAGGGCGGUCAUUGAUUACCAGCAGAAGAUUUGAGUUUUGUGGUUGUCGAGUUGUGUGUCCGCUGUAGCAGCUUGUAUUGUGAUUUGUUCGUCGUGUUGAGGUUAGCGGCGUUCUUGGGCGUGUGCGGGAUCAACCCUGUGUUUUAUUAUUGUAUUAAAGUUGAUUAUACGGAUCCCGGCACCUCAAGGCGACAUAACCUCAAGGGUAUGUGGUGCACCAUUAAAUUAUUAUUGUAGACCGACGGGUCUUGGUUUAGUUACCUAUUAUUAUUAUUAUUAUUACCAGCAACUUGACUGUGAUUGUAACUAUUGUUAAUUAUUAUAAAUUAUUAUUAAUGUAUUUGGACCAAAUGGUCACAUAUUUUAUUAUAACACGUUGAUGCAUAUGUCUACCAACAAUAUUAUUAUUACUAUUAAUAUACUUUAACCAAAAACAGUUGUCUCUUAUAUUUUAGUACAUUGGGACGGUUGCAUCAAGUUGCAAUCCUCCCGGCCGUUAAGGCUCAUUAAUUUAUUUAACUAUUAAAGCUGAAGGCGAGCCAGCAGUGGUUGAAUCAGAUUCUUCAGAUAAUUACAGUACUGAAAACAGUGUAAGACGGACCAAAUCAAUAGAAUGAUCGAUCUUGUGAAGAACAAAUCGUUGAUCUGCUUGAAGAAAAUCUAGAUAGUAAUGCCACUGAUAAAGAUUAUGAAAAGACUGAAGAUAUAUUGACUGAUAUUCAAUCCUGUCAAAGUCUUGGCGAUUCUUCAAUAUUAACUGGUGUACGCUGUGUUGCUCAUAUGCUACAAUUGGCUGUGAUUGACAGCCUCAAAGAUACUGGCAUUGAGAAAUUGCUCAACAAAGUCCGUAUUUUGGUGAGGGAACUUCGGAAUUAAACCUACAUUUAUUUAAUUAAAAAAGAAAAUUUUAAGUGCCCUAUUCUUGACUGUCUCACAUGUUGGCAUUCAACCUUUGACAUGUUAAAGAGUAUGAAACAUUUGAAAGAAUUCAUUCAAAACAAGGCAAACAACAAUUCAGUAUUAAAAAAAGUAUGUUUGAAUAAUACGGAAUGGAAACAAAUUGACAUUAUUUCCCAAGCACUUUUACCGACGAAAAUAUAUACAAAAAAAUUUCAGAAUGAGCAAUUAACAAUGACAGAUUUUUAUGGAUCUUGGAUUUUAUGUAAAAUUGAAACUGAAUAACUAAAUAGUUCAUUUUCCAAAGUUAUACUACAGUGUUUAAAAAACAGAGAGAAAAAUAUUAUGAAAAAAUAAAGUUUUAUUAUCAGCAAUAUUUCUAGAUCCUCGUUAUAAAAUAAUACUUACCGAUGAUCAAUGCAAAGAUGCAAUUAACCAUUUGAUUGCAAUUUGGCUCCAUUUAAAAAAAAUAGAUGAAAAAAGUAUUGAUUUAACAAGUAUAAAUACAGUAAAUCAAGAAGCUGAUGAUGUUAUGAUGAUGAUGUUAUGGAUGGGCUUGAGAAUGUCCUUAAAGGAAAAGAAGUAAAUGUUGAAGAUUCAAACUCAUCCAACAGUUCUCAAAUAUCAGUGCACACUAAAAUUGAAACAAUUCUGAAAACUUAUUAUAUCAAUCAAAUCAGAUUGAAUCACAAAAUAAAUAUUUUAAAGUUUUGGAAAUCAAUGGAUACAACAUACCCAAAAAUAUAAUAUAUAUUAGCCAAAAUAGUAUUCUCAGUUCCGCCAACACAGGUUAGCGUUGAGCGUUUAUUCUCGGGAUUAAAAUUUAUUUUGUCCCCUUAUAGAAGCAAAUAAAUUCUAAAAAUUUAGAAGACCAGUUACUAGUGCGUACCAACAGAUUGUUUGAUAAAAAAGAUUGUAAAAUGAACAUUGAAGAAGAUGAAAUUAUAAAAAACAGAAUACCUGUCGGCUGUCACUAUGGGCCAAGGAGAGGCAUGCCAUACUACAGAUGUACAUCCAACAUCUUCAAAACGCAAAAAAUAAAAUAAAAUAUAGUUUUGUUACAUAAAAUAAUGUAUGUAUAUUAUGUUUACUUAAUAAUUAAUAUAUUUUUAAGAAAGUACUGGCUGUCAUAUAGUAUGCGGUCUACCGGCAAACGCGUUCUACCGGUCAGUGUCGGAUGCGGUCUACCGGCGACCGGCCAGUUUUUACACAGGCCUAAGUCUAAUUAAGUUUAAAAGGUUUACCACAAAAUCGAUUUUGGUUUUUUAACACAUUUUUUUUAAAAUUAUAAUAUAUAGGUAAAUAUUUUUAAGAUUGGUAUACUAUUAUUUUUUAAGGGGGCUUUGAGUGAUUUUGAGGGGACUAAGCCCCCAAGCUCCCCCUAUUAGCACUACUGGUGUAACUCUAAAACAAAUGAACAUGACAUUUUUACUGGUUGUUUAUAUUUGCAUUUUCUAUACACAAUAUUAUUUUCAAAAUAUUUUGAUCUGUU
rnacentral:misc_RNA from 1 species